rnacentral:lncRNA from 1 species
UAUGUUCAAAAAUAUAAUACAGAUGAUAGUUCACCGCGCAUUUUCUCAAGCUACAGGUUGUGACAAAAUGACACAUUUUGUAUGGAUUAUACAGGAAAAAACACCAUUUUGUGAUUAGAAACUAAACAAAAUGAUAGAAUUGUACAAUAUAAUAGGAAAAGAUAGCUUUCAGACAAUGCUUUGAGAAUAUCAAAAGAAAAGAUAGGGUCACC